rnacentral:rRNA from 1 species
GUCCUUUUGAAUUUAAUUUAAGGUNGAACCUGCCCACUGAAAUUUUUUGAAGGGCCGCAGUAAUUUGACUGUGCAAAGGUAGCAUAAUCAUUAGUUUUUUAAUUGAAAGCUUGUAUGAAGGGUUGGACGAGGUAAAUUCUGUCUCUAUUUAAUUUUUUGUAGAAUUUAAUUUUUAAGUUAAAAAGCUUAAAUUUUUUUAAAAGACGAGAAGACCCUAUAGAUCUUUAUAUUAGAAAUAUUAAUUUUAAUUAAGAAUAUUUAAUUUUUUAGUAUUUAUAAUAUUUUAUUGGGGUAAUAAAAAGAUUAAAAUAAUUCUUUUUUUAUUAUAACAUUUAUUUAUGAUUAAAUGAUCCAAUUUUAUUGAUUAAAAGAUUAAGUUACCUUAGGGAUAACAGCGUAAUUUUUUUAGAGAGUUCAUAUCGAUAAAAAAGUUUGCGACCUCGAUGUUGGAUUAAAAAUUAUCUUAGGUGCAGAAGUUUAAGAUUUUGGUCUGUUCGACCAUUAAAUUUUU